UACGUAGGGAGCAAGCGUUGUCCGGAAUCAUUGGGCGUAAAGCGCGCGUAGGUGGCUUCGUAAGUCCGCUGUGAAAGUCAAAGGCUCAACCUUUGAAAGCCGGUGGAUACUGUGAAGCUAGAGUACGGAAGAGGAGAGUGGAAUUCCCGGUGUAGCGGUGAAAUGCGCAGAUAUCGGGAAGAACACCCGUGGCGAAGGCGGCUCUCUGGGACGGUACCGACGCUGAGACGCGAAAGCGUGGGGAGCGAACAGGAUUAGAACCGUACCGUCGUAGAC
rnacentral:rRNA from 1 species